rnacentral:piRNA from 2 species
UGGGAAUCUAUUUCCAGAAGUCUGGUGAGA